AUGAGGGGUAGGGAAGAUCUGGGUUUGAUUCUUUUCAUUUUCACUCCUGCAGGCUCUCCCCUGAAGAACAGCAUGCUAAUGAAGCAGGCACUCAAACUGCUGUACAGCAGCAAGGCACUCUACAGGAAUGUCAAAUGUUGGAGUUCCUUCAUCAUGAUUUUGGGCAGUAGCGAUUUGCUGGAAAAGAGGGGGCACCUCCUUCCCUUACCCUUGGAAGAGCCCCCACUUGGCUUCCAAGAGCGUGUGCUGGCUGCCAGUGCCAGCAUUUUGGAGGAUCUCAGGGCUGGAGUUAAUGUCUCUUUACCAUCUGCUGUUUUCUCUGCUCAGCUGGAACACGAGGCUUCUCUCAUCCUGGCAGUGCAAGCAAUGCAACAGAUGCUUUAUUGUGAGCUUCCCCACCUGACUUCCUUCUUAGAGAUUGUUCUGGCUUUUGGGAAAAACUUCUGGGCUCUGAGGCUGUUGCUGGACCAACUUUCCUGUGAGGAGCACAUCCUCUGUGGCACUGCCAACCUGCUUUUGAGGGAUUUGAGUCAGGAGAAAGCCAUGAUGCUGCGAGUGUGGCAGAACCUGGGCCCCCAGUACGUGGGGGAGUUCCUGUGCCUGUUCCUGACGUGCAGACACAAGAGGAUGCAAUCCGUGGGGCUCUUCACCCUCAACGUGAUCAUCGAGAACCUGCACAUGUGA
rnacentral:lncRNA from 13 species